rnacentral:tRNA from 2 species
UCCACAGUAGCUCAGUGGUAGAGCUAUCGGCUGUUAACCGAUCGGUCGUAGGUUCGAGUCCUACCUGUGGAGC